AUUGAACGCUGGCGGCAUGCCUUACACAUGCAAGUCGAACGGCAGCACGGGAGCAAUCCUGGUGGCGAGUGGCGAACGGGUGAGUAAAGUAUCGGAACGUGCCCAGUCGUGGGGGAUAACGUAGCGAAAGUUACGCUAAUACCGCAUACGAUCUAUGGAUGAAAGCGGGGGAUCGCAAGACCUCGCGCGAUUGGAGCGGCCAAUAUCAGAUUAGGUAGUUGGUGGGGUAAAGGCUCACCAAGCCGACGAUCUGUAGCGGGUCUUAGAGGACGACCAGCCACACUGGGACUGAGACACGGCCAAGACUCAAACGGGAGGCAGCAGUGGGGAAUUUUGGACGAUGGGCGAAAGCCUGAUCCAGCCAUGCAGCGUGCAGGAUGAAGGCCUUCGGGUUGUAAACUGCUUUUGUACGGAACGAAAAGGUUUGGCCUAAUAAGCUGAGCUCAUGACGGUACCGUAAGAAUAAGCACCGGCUAACUACGUGCCAGCCGCCGCGGUAA
rnacentral:rRNA from 1 species